UACGUAGGGUGCGAGCGUUGUCCGGAAUUAUUGGGCGUAAAGAGCUCGUAGGCGGCCUGUCGCGUCGGAUGUGAAAGCCCGGGGCUUAACCCCGGGUCUGCAGUCGAUACGGGCAGGCUAGAGUUCGGUAGGGGAGACUGGAAUUCCUGGUGUAGCGGUGAAAUGCGCAGAUAUCAGGAGGAACACCGGUGGCGAAGGCGGGUCUCUGGGCCGAUACUGACGCUGAGGAGCGAAAGCGUGGGGAGCGAACAGG
rnacentral:rRNA from 1 species